AUUAACGUGCAGACUUUUAACCUUGAAGUUUCAACAAGGAAGUGAAAGUGGCUGAUUAAAUGGAGCUCUUCAGGGUCAUGGAGAAAAAUCUAAGCUGGAGGGAAGUACACAGAGUAGGCAACAGGUUUGUCAAACCUAAUGCAGCAUAUUAUGGCACUAGCAGAUAGUCUUCAUGCUGACAGUCCUCAGGGAGACUCAUUUUACCGUGUAUGAGUGAAGGUGUGGCUCAACCUAACUACUUGGCAAGCUAAAGCCAGCUUUGAGCAUAAAGAGCAAUGUUGAGAGGACUGAAGGGUGUAAAUACAUUAAUAUUUGAGGGUGUAAAUACAUUAAUAUUUGCGUAGUUGAAAGGUUUCUGUUGUCAGUGUCUUUCUUAAGAGUGCAUCUGAAAUCCAUUACUAAUUAUUAAAUAAAUCGUGUGAUUAUUAAA